UACGAAGGGUGCAAGCGUUACUCGGAAUUACUGGGCGUAAAGCGUGCGUAGGUGGUUCGUUAAGUCUGAUGUGAAAGCCCCGGGCUCAACCUGGGAAUGGCAUUGGAAACUGGCUGGCUAGAGUGUGGCAGAGGGGGGUGGAAUUCCGCGUGUAGCAGUGAAAUCGUAGAGAUGCGGAGGAACACCGAUGGGCGAAGGCAGCCCCCCUGGGCUGACACUGACGCCUCAGGCACGAAAGCGUGGGGAGCAAACAGG
rnacentral:rRNA from 1 species